AUACCUUUCUCGACCUUUUGGCUAAGAUCAAGUGUAGUAUCUGUUCUUAUCAGUUUAAUAUCUGAUACGUGAGCCAAUGGCUCACACGGUAUUAAAUUAAUUUUUUGAGGGGGAAAGAGGCCACCACAGUAGCUAGCUAUUGGGCCUCUUGCGGGUGGCCUUAGCGUUGCACUAUAGCCUAGGCCCGGCCCACCCCAC